rnacentral:rRNA from 1 species
GUCCUCUUGAUUUUUAUAUGAGGUCAUACCUGCCCAGUGAGUAUUUUAACGGCCGCGGUAUUUUGACCGUGCAAAGGUAGCAUAAUCAUUAGUCUUUUAAUAGAAGGCUGGAAUGAAGGGUUUAACGAAACAUUAACUGUCUCAAAUGUAUUAUUUAUAAAUUAAUUUUUAAGUCAAAAAGCUUAAAUUUUUUUGUAGGACGAGAAGACCCUAUAGAGCUUUACAUUUAUAUUAUUUUAUAUUAAUUGGAUUAUCAUGUGAUAUUUUUUAUAUAGUGUUUUGUUGGGGUGACAAGAAAUAUAUAUUCAACUUUUUUAUUUUAUUUACAUAAAUUUAUGUUAACUUGAUCCUUUUUUAUUGAUUAUUAGAUUAAGUUACCUUAGGGAUAACAGCGUAAUCUUUCUUUGAAGAUCUAAUUUGUAGAAAGGCUUGCGACCUCGAUGUUGGAUUAAGAUUAUUUUUUGGUGCAGUAGCUAAAUAAAUAGGUCUGUUCGACCUUUAAAAUCUUACAUGAUCUGAGUUCAGACCGG